GACGAACGCUGGCGGCGUGCCUAAUACAUGCAAGUAGAACGCACAGUUUAUACCGUAGCUUGCUACACCAUAGACUGUGAGUUGCGAACGGGUGAGUAACGCGUAGGUAACCUGCCUGGUAGCGGGGGAUAACUAUUGGAAACGAUAGCUAAUACCGCAUAAUAUUAAUUAUUGCAUGAUAAUUAAUUGAAAGGUGCAAUUGCACCACUACCAGAUGGACCUGCGUUGUAUUAGCUAGUAGGUGAGGUAACGGCUCACCUAGGCGACGAUACAUAGCCGACCUGAGAGGGUGAUCGGCCACACUGGGACUGAGACACGGCCCAGACUCCUACGGGAGGCAGCAGUAGGGAAUCUUCGGCAAUGGACGAAAGUCUGACCGGGCAACGCCGCGUGAGUGAAGAAGGUUUUCGGAUCGUAAAGCUCUGUUGUAAGAGAAGAACGGGUGUGAGAGUGGAAAGUUCACACUGUGACGGUAUCUUACCAGAAAGGGACGGCUAACUACGUG
rnacentral:rRNA from 1 species